rnacentral:tRNA from 1 species
AAGACUUUAUGUUAAUAAAACAAUUAACCUUCAAAGUUAAAAAUACAAGUAAAAUUCUUGUAAGUCUUA